rnacentral:rRNA from 1 species
GAUGAACGCUAGCGGCAGGCCUAACACAUGCAAGUCGAGGGGUAACAGGGUAGCAAUAUCGCUGACGACCGGCGCACGGGUGAGUAACACGUAUGCAACCUUCCUUUAACUGGGGCAUAGCCCGGAGGAAUUCGGAUUAAUACCCCAUAACAUCAUAGAAAGGCAUCUUUCAGUGAUUAAAGCUCCGGCGGUUAAAGAUGGGCAUGCGUACCAUUAGCUAGUUGGUGAGGUAAUUGCUCACCAAGGCUACGAUGGUUAGGGGGUCUGAGAGGAUGAUCCCCCACACUGGUACUGAGGCACGGACCAGACUCCUGCGGGAGGCAGCAGUGAGGAAUAUUGGGCAAUGGGCGCAAGCCUGACCCAGCCAUGCCGCGUGAAGGUAGGAGGCCCUAUGGGUUGUAAACUUCUUUUAUACGGGAAGAAACUUCCGAACGUGUUCGGGAUUGACUGUACCGUAGGAAUAAGCAUCGGCUAACUCCGUGCCAGCCGCCGCAGUAAUAC